UUACGGCCAUAUCAAGUUGAAACACCGGCUCUCAUCCGGUCACCGAGCUUAAGCAACGUUGAACCUGGUCAGUACUAAGAUGGGUGACCACUUGGGAAUACGAGGUACUGUAAG